rnacentral:rRNA from 1 species
UACAGAGGGUGCAAGCGUUGUUCGGAAUUACUGGGCGUAAAGCGCACGUAGGCGGCUUUGUAAGUUAGAGGUGAAAGCCCAGGGCUCAACCCUGGAAUUGCCUUUAAGACUGCAUCGCUUGAACAUCGGAGAGGUAAGUGGAAUUCCGAGUGUAGAGGUGAAAUUCGUAGAUAUUCGGAAGAACACCAGUGGCGAAGGCGACUUACUGGACGAUUGUUGACGCUGAGGUGCGAAAGCGUGGGGAGCAAACAGG